rnacentral:snRNA from 1 species
AUAGUUUUAAUUAAAAGUAAAGA